rnacentral:rRNA from 1 species
AAUUGGACUAGGGGGAGUCACAUCCUACCAAAUCCAGAUGAACUCCGAAUGGUGUUAAAUAUACCUUGCAGUGAGGGCAUGGGUGCUAAGGUCCGUGUCCGAGAGGGAAAGAACCCAGAUCUACAGCUAAGGUCCCAAAAUGUACACUAAGUUGAACUAAGGCGGUUCAGUUGCCUAGACAGCCAGGAUGUUUGCUUGGAAGCAGCAAUUCAUUUAAAGAGUGCGUAACAGCUCACUGGUCGAGCGACAGAGCAUCGAUAAUAAUCGGGCAUCAAGUAUAGUACCGAAGCUUGGGAUUUAUCCGCCAUCUGGCGGAUGAGUGGUAGGGGAGCAUUCUAUUCCGCGGAGAAGCAGUCUGGUAAUGGAUUGUGGAGCGUAUAGAAAAGCAAAUGUAGGCAUAAGUAACGAUAAGGCGGGUGAGAAACCCGCCCACCGAUAGACUAAGGAUUCCGCGGCAAUGCUAAUCAACCGCGGGUAAGUCGGGACCUAAGGCGAAGCCGAGAGGCGUAGUCGAUGGACAACCGGUUAAUAUUCCGGUACUACCGUUAUAAGCGAAGUGGAGAAGGAGGAGUGACAGCUCCGCGAACUGACGAAAUAGUUCGUUGAAAGGCGUAGGUAUAGGCCGUGCAGGAAAAUCCGCAUGGUUUGCUGAAACCCAAUAGUACCUGGAGGCUUCGGCCAAAGGGAUAGAGAGCGUAAGCAGACUUCCAAGAAAACCCGCUAGCGUUAAUUAUAAAGGUACCCGUACCGCAAACCGACACAGGUAGUCAAGGAGAGAAUCCUGAGGUGCUCGAGUGAAUCAUGGCUAAGGAACUAGGCAAAUUAAUCCUGUAACUUCGGAAGAAGGGAUGCCUCCUUGCGUAGCAAUACGUGAGAGGUCGCAGAGAAAUGGCCCAGGCGACUGUUUAACAAAAACACAUGGCUUUGCGAAAUCGAAAGAUGAAGUAUAAGGCCUGACACCUGCCCGGUGCUGGAAGGUUAAGGGGGGACGUUAGUGGGUAACUGCGAAGCGUUGAACUGAAGCCCCAGUAAACGGCGGCCGUAACUAUAACGGUCCUAAGGUAGCGAAAUUCCUUGUCGGGUAAGUUCCGACCUGCACGAAUGGUGUAACGAUCUGGGCGCUGUCUCAGCCAUGAGCUCGGUGAAAUUGUAGUCACGGUGAAGAUGCCGUGUACCCGUCACGGGACGGAAAGACCCCAUGAACCUUUACUAUAGCUUCACAUUGACAUUGUGUAAAUGAUGUGUAGGAUAGGCGGGAGGCAUUGAUCCCGGGCCGCUAGGUUCGGGGGAGUCAACGGUGAAAUACCGCCCUUCGUUUUCUUGAUGUCUAAUCCCGCUUAAAGCAGGAGACAGUGUGUGGUGGGUAGUUUGACUGGGGUGGUCGCCUCCGAAAGUGUAUCGGAGGCUUUCAAAGGUAUGCUCAGUACGCUUGGUAACCGUACGUGGAGUGCAAUAGCAUAAGCAUGCUUGACAGUGAGACCGACGGGUCGAGCUGGAUGGAAACAUGGAUAUAGUGAUCCGGUGGUUCUGUAUGGAAGGGCCAUCGCUCAAAGGAUAAAAGGUACUCUGGGGAUAACAGGCUGAUCUCCCCCAAGAGCUCAUAUCGACGGGGAGGUUUGGCACCUCGAUGUCGGCUCGUCACAUCCUGGGGCUGGAGAAGGUCCCAAGGGUUGGGCUGUUCGCCCAUUAAAGUGGCACGCGAGCUGGGUUCAGAACGUCGUGAGACAGUUCGGUCCCUAUCUGUGAUGGGCGUAGGAAGUUUGAGAGGAUCUGACCUUAGUACGAGAGGACCGGGUUGGACUAACCGCUGGUGUACCAGUUGUGGCGUCAGCUGCACCGCUGGGUAGCUAUGUUGGGACGGGAUAAGCGCUGAAAGCAUCUAAGCGCGAAACCCACCUCGAGAUGAGACUUCCAUUAAGGGACGUCAGAGAUGAUGACGUUGAUAGGCUGCAGGUGUACAGGCAGGAAUGUCAAAGCUGAGCAGUACUAAUAACCCGAUAACUUCUUUU